rnacentral:rRNA from 1 species
AUUGAACGCUGGCGGCAUGCCUUACACAUGCAAGUCGAACGGCAGCGGGGGAGAAGCUUGCUUUUCCUGCCGGCGAGUGGCGAACGGGUGAGUAAUACAUCGGAACGUGCCCUGUAGUGGGGGAUAACUAGUCGAAAGAUUAGCUAAUACCGCAUACGACCUGAGGGUGAAAGGGGGGGACCGCAAGGCCUCAUGCUAUAGGAGCGGCCGAUGUCUGAUUAGCUAGUUGGUGGGGUAAAGGCCUACCGAGGCGACUAUCAGUAGCUGGUCUGAGAGGGCGAUCAGCCACACUGGGACUGAGACACGGACCAGACUCCUACGGGAGGCAGCAGUGGGGAAUUUUGGACAAUGGCGAAAGCCUGAUCCAGCAAUGCCGCGUGUGUGAAGAAGGCCUUCGGGUUGUAAAGCACUUUUGUCCGGAAAGAAAUGGCUCUGGUUAAUACCUGGGGUCGAUGACGGUACCGGAAGAAUAAGGACCGGCUAACUACGUGCCAGCAGCCGCCGUAA